CGCCACUGACUGAGCUGUGUCCAUUGUCAUGGGCAGACAUGUAACCACUGAGCCAGGGCAUUAGCACCGUGCUUUGUCAGCAAUAAACCUGGCUGGGUGCCUUCGCUACUAAACCAAGUCUUGUGGUCUUAUUGGGCAGUUUGAUUGGAGCCUGCUGUACCGGCUAUCUGGCCAGAGCCAGUGCAUCGCACAGAAAUAACACAUGCACGUAGCCAAACCUCUGACGACAGGAUGGCUGAGCCAGAUUCUUAUCAGCCAGAAGUCAAAAGGAGAAUGCUAGACAGCGAAGAAAUAAAGUGGGAAUGAAAAGGAUACAUGUCUUUCAUCCCAGGUGGUGUUCGUGGAGGUGGUAAUGCCAGCAGGGUCACUCCCUCUUUGGUGUGGGCUGGCCAGGACAUCUCUCAGAAUCAGGACAACGAAGGCACAAUGAUGUCACGCUGGAUCCCCUGGUCCCAGGAAAAGCCCUGCACAGACUGAGGAUUUCGGUGUUUACAGCAUUGCCCAUCUAUCUGUCCCACAAGUGCUGUCCAUCUGGCACCAUGGCCCUAACUGGACUUAGAAAGAGACUCCAAUAAUCACCCCACGAAAG